rnacentral:rRNA from 1 species
GACGUAGGGCGCAAGCGUUGUCCGGAUUUAUUGGGCGUAAAGGGUGCGUAGGUGGCAAAGUAAGUUGGAUGUGAAAUCCUGGGGCUCAACCUCAGAAUUGCAUUCAAUACUGCUUAGCUAGAGAGCUGUAGAGGAGACUGGAAUUUACGGUGUAGCAGUGAAAUGCGUAGAUAUCGUAAGGAACGCCAGUGGCGAAAGCGAGUCUCUGGGCAGCAUCUGACACUGAGGCACGAAGGCCAGGGGAGCAAACGGG